rnacentral:hammerhead_ribozyme from 1 species
AUUCAGCUGAUGAGUCCCAAGUAGAGCGAGAGGCGCGUCCCGGAU